GGGCGAUUAGCUCAGCGGUUUAGAGUACCUGCCUUACAAGCAGGGUGUCACUGGUUCAAAUCCAGUAUCGCCCACCA
rnacentral:tRNA from 1 species